CCUCCCCGGAAAAGAAACAACUCCAGGGAAUUGUGUCGAAGAGACCAUCGCAUCUCUAAUAAAGGUAGGCACAGAGCUUGUCAGCACACUGUCUGUUGCCAUAGUUACCGUAAGGUAUGACAACAACUGCAGCUCCAGAAAUUAAAGUGUCACAGAACAGAGAAUGACUGCAUAUCACUUCACUAAAUGAUCCCACAUGGCACCCUAGGGUCUGAUGAAGACCGGUGUGAGGAAGUCCACCUGUCCCCUUUCCUCUUAAACUUCACUGGAGUUCACACAAUGGGGAAGGGGCCAAGAGGAUUCACACAGAGACGGACAGGCUUCCCUGGAGGAGGAACUAGUCCAUCAAGACAGGACCACGGGGCCAAAGUGGCUCCACACUGAAGGGUGCGGGUGGAGACGGCCCCAAGCACCCCGCGUGGGUGACUCUGCAGAAGCCAGCUCCACCCCCGGGAAAAGGAAUAGAACCCGCUGCCCUGAUUCCCUCGCUGUCUCAGCCUUAACAACCCCAGCAAGAAGGGCCCCUGACAAACCUGGGCUGCUCCUAUGGUGCACAGACACAUAUAAAUAAUAGGAAAUUUUUGUUCCGAAUCUCAGCUAAAAGAAACCUAUUGCAAAUAAAAUGUAUAAAUGGA
rnacentral:lncRNA from 1 species